rnacentral:rRNA from 1 species
UACGUAGGGACCAAGCGUUGUUCGGAUUUACUGGGCGUAAAGGGCGCGUAGGCGGCGCGGUAAGUCAAUUGUGAAAUCUCUGAGCUUAACUCAGAACGGCCAAGUGAUACUGCAGUGCUAGAGUGUGGAAGGGGCAAUCGGAAUUCUUGGUGUAGCGGUGAAAUGCGUAGAUAUCAAGAGGAACACCUGAGGUGAAGACGGGUUGCUGGGCCAACACUGACGCUGAGGCGCGAAAGCCAGGGGAGCAAACGGG